rnacentral:tRNA from 1 species
UGGCGGCAUGGCCAAGCGGUAAGGC